CACGGGGGGAGCAAGCGUUGUUCGGAAUCACUGGGCGUAAAGGGCGUGUAGGCGGUCAAGUAAGUGGAAUGUGAAAUCCCCCGGCUUACCCGGGGACCUGCAUCCCAAACUGCUUGGCUUGAGUACGGGAGAGGAUGAGGGAAUUCCUGGUGUAGCGGUGAAAUGCGUAGAUAUCAGGAGGAACACCGGUGGCGAAGGCGCUCAUCUGGCCCGAUACUGACGCUGAGGCGCGAAAGCUAGGGGAGCAAACGGG
rnacentral:rRNA from 1 species